CCACUAUAUAAGCUGUCUUCAGACCUUGCCUCAACGCCGCAGUGUUGUUCCAGUUGGAAACCCGUGUCUUCUCUGUGAAAGCUCUGGAAGAGCUAACCUGCCGAGCCGACCCUCUGAGCCAAACCCUGAAGAUUCUCUGAGAACCUCCAAGCAGCUCAGGACCAGAGCUGGGAAACCAAAGCUAAGGUCUGUUCAAGCUAGACGUGAGACGCUGAAGCAGCUAACGGACUCUGCUGAUAAACUCUUCUCCAGAACCAACAGUGACUCUCCCAAAGAGAACCUCAAGAACCCUCAAGACUCCGGUGAAACCAGAACCCAGGCCCGAACCAGUCGUCAG